AGUCCUGUGCCUGAGUGAUUUAUAGGAGCUGCCUGCAAAGCAGUUAUUCGUAGGUUUGAAUCCUACCGGGACC
rnacentral:tRNA from 1 species